AACGAACGCUGGCGGCAGGCUUAACACAUGCAAGUCGAACGCAUCCUUCGGGGUGAGUGGCAGACGGGUGAGUAACGCGUGGGAACGUGCCCUUCAGUUCGGGAUCACCCAGGGAAACUUGGGCUAAUACCGGAUACGUGCGAGAGCAGAAAGAUUUAUCGCUGAAGGAUCGGCCCGCGUCUGAUUAGCUAGUUGGUGGGGUAAUGGCCCACCAAGGCGACGAUCAGUAGCUGGUCUGAGAGGAUGAUCAGCCACAUUGGGACUGAGACACGGCCCAAACUCCUACGGGAGGCAGCAGUGGGGAAUAUUGGACAAUGGGCGCAAGCCUGAUCCAGCCAUGCCGCGUGAGUGAUGAAGGCCUUAGGGUUGUAAAGCUCUUUCGUCCGGGACGAUAAUGGCGGUACCGGAAGAAGAAGCCCCGGCUAACUUCGUGCCAGCCGCCGCAGUAA
rnacentral:rRNA from 1 species